CCCUUAGAUGUUCUGGGCCGCACGCGCGCUACACUGAUGCAUUCAACGAGUCUAAAACCUGGUCUGAUAGGGCUGGGUAAUCUUUUGAAAGUGCAUCGUGAUUGGGAUAGAUGAUUGCAAUUCUUCAUCUUCAACGAGGAAUGCCUAGUAAACGCAAGUCAUCAGCUUGCAUUGAUUACGUCCCUGCCCUUUGUACACACCGCCCGUCGCUCCUACCGAUUGAAUGAUCCGAUGAAUACCAUGGAUUGAGAGUACGAAUGGGUUCGCCCAUUUCUGCUGCUCGAGAAGUGGAGUAAAUCUUAUCAUUUAGAGGAAGGAGAAGUCGUAACA
rnacentral:rRNA from 1 species